rnacentral:lncRNA from 1 species
AAAUUGUUUAAAACUUAUGAGUUUCUUCCUCAAUCUCUCAGAAAAUAUUAUUGAAUUAAUGUGAUCUAAUGAGUCAUAUAAUUGGACAAGCGGCUACAAAGUAGAAACCUUUUUGUACACUAUUUCCUGUUGAAAUCUUUAGAUUUUUUUUUACAUUUUUUCAUGGACAAGAGAUAUUUCAUUACCAUCCAAAUGAAAGAAGUACCAAGACUGCAAGCAACAUAUGAAAAGUCCAUUACAAUUCAAACCCAACAGAAACAAGAACAUCUUGAAAUUGCUAAAAGCUUUGACCUUUAAAUGUUUCAGCCAUUUUUCUUAGCUAUUAAAAAAGGGCCAAUUAAUUUGGUCAACAAAAGUGAGGUUGUACAUUAAUCAGCAUAGCAUAAUCCAUAUCCAAGGUGGGCUUGGACCAUAGCAAGGUCAGUCAUGUCCAAUCCUAGCAUGUUCUGUUAUUACUUUCUCAAUUACCAGACUCCUUAAGGUUAAUUGAUGGAUAAAUUCGAGAUCUUAAAUUCGAAUUUUAGCAUUUGCUAUCUUAUUUCAUAUCUCAUGCUGUGGUCUCCUUGUAAAAAAAGAGUUAAUUUAUGGGUAGUACAAUAGAUUGCAGUCUUUGAAAGCUUCAACAGGCAAACAAAGUUGCAGCUUGAAGCAACAAGGAUGUAACUUGUAAUCUUGUGAUUCUAUCUUAAUUAAUAAGCAAGGGGAAGACUUGCCUGACCAGGCAACAGACACUGCACUAGCCAGGCUCUUGAGUUAUCAGAUCGUUAUCAUAAUGGAUAUAUUUGUUGUAGAAGGGAUCUGCUACAGAUGACUUGUAUGCUUGGGUUUCUCUUUCUGGCAGGGUGAUGACUGCAAUGAGUAGAUUUGGC